AGAGUUUGAUCCUGGCUCAGGACGAACGCUGGCGGCGUGCCUAACACAUGCAAGUCGAGCGAUGAAGUUCCUUCGGGAACGGAUUAGCGGCGGACGGGUGAGUAACACGUGGGUAACCUGCCUCAAAGAGGGGGAUAGCCUCCCGAAAGGGAGAUUAAUACCGCAUAACAUUAUUUUCUCGCAUGAGAAGAUAAUCAAAGGAGCAAUCCGCUUUGAGAUGGACCCGCGGCGCAUUAGCUAGUUGGUGAGGUAACGGCUCACCAAGGCGACGAUGCGUAGCCGACCUGAGAGGGUGAUCGGCCACAUUGGAACUGAGACACGGUCCAGACUCCUACGGGAGGCAGCAGUGGGGAAUAUUGCGCAAUGGGGGAAACCCUGACGCAGCAACGCCGCGUGAGUGAUGAAGGUCUUCGGAUUGUAAAGCUCUGUCUUUGGGGACGAUAAUGACGGUACCCAAGGAGGAAGCCACGGCUAACUACGUGCCAGCAGCCGCGGUAAUACGUAGGUGGCAAGCGUUGUCCGGAUUUACUGGGCGUAAAGAGUAUGUAGGCGGAUAUUUAAGUCAGAUGUGAAAUUCCCGGGCUUAACCUGGGCGCUGCAUUUGAAACUGGGUAUCUAGAGUGCGGGAGAGGAAAGUGGAAUUCCUAGUGUAGCGGUGAAAUG
rnacentral:rRNA from 1 species